GUUGUCUCCCAUAAUCCUUUGCGCACCAGCAGAACGUCCCAUCUAGCAGAGGUGACUUGAAGCUGAGACGAAAUAAGGCUGCAAUUAUGCUUGGACAAGCAGUUAGGCGCUUCACUACUUCAGCCAUCCGGUCUUCACAUUAUGCUGAAGGACCAGGAAAGAAUCUGCCAUUUUCAGUGGAUAACAAAUGGCGUCUCCUUGGCCUAAUGGUGGUGUUCUUUGGCAGCGGCUUUGCAUUCCCCUUCAUUGUUGUCAGACAUCAGAUCUUGAAGAAGUGAAAUGGUUCCAUGUCCCUUAACCUUUAUGAUCGUCAGCUGGAACAUCCAUCAACAUUCUGUCUUUGCUGAAUGAUGGAAAUCACUUAAUUGUCUUUGUAAAUAAAGGUCUCCUUAAAUAUGA